AUGUUGUGGCGCACAAUUCGCAGUAUGGAGGUGAUGGCGCAUUCUUCGAAUUUCCUUCUUCCGAAACUGCAUCAGCCUGCCAAGGCUCCAGCAAACAACUAUACUCUGGUUGUUCUUAACCAGCAGCUUCCACGGUUCAUGCCUCGCCUCUGGGCUCAAGCAAAGAUGAGAAUAUGUGCUGAUGGUGGAGCCAAUCGUAUUUUUGACGAGAUGUCUCAAAUGACAAAUGACCUGGACAGAAAUAGGUAUAUUCCAGAAAUAAUUGAAGGGGACAUGGAUUCUAUAAGGCCAGAAGUGAAAAGAUAUUACUCUAGUCAGGGAUCCAAAAUUUCUGAUAAAUCACAUAACCAAGAGACAACAGAUCUGCACAAGUGUAUUUCCAGUAUCCGCCAUCGCACACCUAAUCAUGAAAAGCCUAAUCUUUGUGUUCUUGUUACUGGAGCACUUGGAAGGUUUGAUCAUGAGGCUGCAAAUAUCAAUGUUCUCUAUGCGUUCUCGGACAUGCGGAUUGUCCUUCUGUCCGAUGAUUGCUUGAUCCAACUUCUUCCCAAAACGCAUCACCAUGAGAUCUAUAUUGAGUCGUCUGUAGAAGGACCACAUUGUGGAAUUUUUCCUAUUGGAGCACCAUCUACAAGCACUACAACCACUGGCCUCAAGUGGAACCUGAGUGAUGCAGAGAUGAGAUUUGGGAGCAUGAUAAGCACAUCCAACAUUGUGGAUUCAGAUAAAGUUACUGUGCAGUCCGAUGCAGAUCUUCUGUGGACAAUUUCUCUUCGAAAUCUGACCUGA
rnacentral:rRNA from 1 species